UACGUAGGGGGCGAGCGUUGUCCGGAUUUAUUGGGCGUAAAGAGCGUGUAGGCGGCCAGGUAGGUCCGUUGUGAAAACUCGAGGCUCAACCUCGAGACGUCGAUGGAAACCAUCUGGCUAGAGUCCGGAAGAGGAGAGUGGAAUUCCUGGUGUAGCGGUGAAAUGCGCAGAUAUCAGGAGGAACACCAAUAGCGAAGGCAGCUCGCUGGGACGGUACUGACGCUAAGGCGCGAAAGCGUGGGGAGCGAACAGG
rnacentral:rRNA from 1 species